AGCAGCCGCGGUAAUUCCAGCUCCAAUAGCGUAUAUUAAAGUUGUUGCAGUUAAAAAGCUCGUAGUUGAAUUUCGGGGUUAGCAGGUCGGUCGUGCCAUCGGUAUGAACUGGUCUCGCUGAUCCCUCCCUCUUGACGAACUGUGAUGCCAUUAAUUUGGUGACGCAGGGAAUCAGGACUGUUACUUUGAAAAAUUAGAGUGUUUAAAGCAGGCUCACGCUUGAAUACAUUAGCAUGGAAUAAUGAAAUAGGACGUUUGAUCCUAUUUUGUUGGCUUCUAGGAUUGACGUAAUGAUUAGUAGGGAUAGUUGGGGGCAUUAGUAUUCAAUUGUCAGAGGUGAAAUUCUUGGAUUUAUUGAAGACUAACUACUGCGAAAGCAUUUGCCAAGGAUGUUUUCAUUAA
rnacentral:rRNA from 1 species